rnacentral:rRNA from 1 species
UGCAAGUCGAGCGAUGAAGUUUCUUCGGAAAUGGAUUAGCGGCGAACGGGUGAGGAACACGUGAAGAAUCUGCCCUCCACUUUGGGAUAACACCGGGAAACCGGUGCUAAUACCGAAUAUUGAAACAUAAGUGGCAUCACUGAGUUUUGAAAGAAUUUCGGUGGAGGAUGACUUCGCGGCCUAUCAGCUAGUUGGUGAGGUAAUGGCUCACCAAGGCAACGACGGGUAGCCGGCCUGAGAGGGCGACCGGCCACACUGGGACUGAGACACGGCCCAGACUCCUACGGGAGGCAGCAGUGGGGAAUAUUGGGCAAUGGAGGAAACUCUGACCCAGCGACGCCGCGUGCGGGAUGAAGGCCUUCGGGUUGUAAACCGCUUUCAGUAGGGAAGAAGCGAAAGUGACGGUACCUACAAAAGAAGCACCGGCUAACUAUGUGCCAGCAGCCGCGGUAAUACAUAGGGUGCAAGCGUUGUCCGGAAUUAUUGGGCGUAAAGAGCUCGUAGGUCGUUUGUUACGUCGGAUGUGAAAACCUGAGGCUCAACCUCAGGCCUGCAUUCGAUACGGGCAAACUAGAGUUUGGUAGGGGAGACUGGAAUUCCUGGUGUAGCGGUGGAAUGCGCAGAUAUCAGGAGGAACACCAAUGGCGAAGGCAGGUCUCUGGGCCAAUACUGACACUGAGGAGCGAAAGUCUGGGGAGCGAACAGGAUUAGAUACCCUGGUAGUCCAGACCGUAAACGGUGGGCACUAGUUGUGGG